UUACGGCCAGUGAAGCCCCCCUGUGCUCUUUUCCUCGUGGGGGCCCAGUGUGCAAUGGCUGCAAAGAGCAGCCUCCUUGGCAGUGUGUGUAGCUCGUUGCCUGCACGGCUGGCCCUAAGGGACCUGGAGACAGCC
ensembl:snoRNA SNORA70 Small nucleolar RNA SNORA70